rnacentral:rRNA from 1 species
UACAUGGGGUGCAAACGUUGCUCGGAAUUACUGGGCGUAAAGGGCGCGUAGGCGGCGCAACAAGUCACUUGUGAAAUCUCCGGGCUUAACCCGGAGCGGCCAAGUGAUACUGUCGUGCUAGAGUGCGGAAGGGGCUACUGGAAUUCUCGGUGUAGCGGUGAAAUGCGUAGAUAUCGAGAGGAACACCUGCGGCGAAGGCGGGUAGCUGGGCCGACACUGACGCUGAGGCGCGAAAGCCAGGGGAGCGAACGGG